rnacentral:rRNA from 1 species
AUGUCGUCCUCCUCCUCUCCCGUCGCCAUGGCCUCUCCUUCCCUCGCAUCGCUCGGCCACACCAUCACCGAGAAGCUCACGAGGGAAAAAUUUCUGGUAUGGAAGGCGCAAGUCCUGCCGCAUAUCAAAGCGGCAGGGAUGAUGGACUACCUCGACGGCUCGAUCAAGGAGCCAAACGCCCUCCUCCUCUUUGAGAAGGAGAUCGGUGACGGGAAGAAGGAGACCGUCACCACGCCCAACCCGGAGCACGCCAUCUGGGUAACGCAAGAUCAACAGGUGCUCACGUUCCUGAUUGCUUCUCUCUCUCUCGAUCUCUCGGUCUCUCUCGAUGUUCUCAUGCAAGUCUCGAACCACACCACCUCUAUUAGCAUCUGGCAAGCCCCGCUCCAGAGUUUUUAUCGCAGUCCAGGGCGCGCACCAUCCAGCUUCGCUCUGCCCUGGGGAACACGCGCAAGGGAGACCUCUUGGCCGCCGCCUACUUCACCAAGAUGA